UACGUAGGGUGCAAGCGUUUGUCCGGAAUUAUUGGGCGUAAAGAGCUCGUAGGCGGUCUGUCGCGUCUGCUGUGAAAACUCGGGGCUUAACCCCGGGCCUGCAGUCGAUACGGGCAGACUAGAGUUCGGUAGGGGAGACUGGAAUUCCUGGCGUAGCGGUGAAAUGCGCAGAUAUCAGGAGGAACACCGGUGGCGAAGGCGGGUCUCUGGGCCGAUACUGACGUGAGGAGCGAAAGCGUGGGGAGCGAACAGG
rnacentral:rRNA from 1 species